UACGUAGGGUGCAAGCGUUAAUCGGAAUUACUGGGCGUAAAGCGUGCGCAGGCGGCUUGCAAGACAGAUGUGAAAUCCCCGGGCUUAACCUGGGAACUGCAUUUGUGACUGCAUGGCUGGAGUGCGGCAGAGGGGAUGGAAUUCCGGCGUGUAGCAGUGAAAUGCGUAGAUAUGCGGAGGAACACCGAUGGCGAAGGCAAUCCCCUGGGCCUGCACUGACGCUCAUGCACGAAAGCGUGGGGAGCAAACAGG
rnacentral:rRNA from 1 species